CAGUCGCCGCGGGAAUACGAAGGGUGCAAGCGUUACUCGGAAUUACUGGGCGUAAAGCGUGCGUAGGUGGUGGUUUAAGUCCGUUGUGAAAGCCCUGGGCUCAACCUGGGAAUUGCAGUGGAUACUGGGUCACUAGAGUGUGGUAGAGGAUAGUGGAAUUUCCGGUGUAGCAGUGAAAUGCGUAGAGAUCGGAAGGAACAUCUGUGGCGAAGGCGACUAUCUGGGCCAACACUGACACUGAGGCACGAAAGCGUGGGGAGCAAACAGGAUUAGAUACCCCCUAGUCCUGUCUCUUAUACAC
rnacentral:rRNA from 1 species